GUCCCUUCGUGGACAUCCGAAAUAAUUGGAACGAUACAGAAGAUUAGCAUGGCCCCUGCCCAAGGAUGACACGCACAAAUCGAGAAAAAGUCUAUUUUUUU